AGUGAUUCCGUAGGUGAACCUGCCGAAGGAUCAUUAAUGAAUAACUAUGGUGUUGGUUGUUGCUGGCUUCUAGGAGCAUGUGCACGCCCGCCAUUCUUAUCUCUCCACCUGUGCACUGUAUGUAGGUCUGGAUGACUCUCGCUCUCGAGCGGAUGCAGGGAUUGUCGCUUGCGACUCUCCUUGAAUUUCCAGAUCUAUGUAUUUUACAUACCCCAAUUGAAUGACGAAGAAUGUAGUCAAUGGGCUUUCAAGCCUAUAAAACAAUAUACAACUUUCAGCAACGGAUCUCUUGGCUCUCGCAUCGAUGAAGAACGCAGCGAAAUGCGAUAAGUAAUGUGAAUUGCAGAAUUCAGUGAAUCAUCGAAUCUUUGAACGCACCUUGCGCUCCUUGGUAUUCCGAGGAGCAUGCCUGUUUGAGUGUCAUUAAAUUCUCAACUUCAUCAGUUUUGUUGAAGCUUGGAUAUGGGGGUUGUGCAGAAUGCAUCAGUAGUCUGCUCCCCUUAAAUGAAUUAGCGAGUUCAAACUGAGCUCCAUCUAUUGGUGUGAUAAUUAUCUACGCCGUGGAUUGGACUUAGACUUGCUUCUAAUCGUCCGCAAGGACAAUACUUGACAAUUUGACCUCAAAUCAGGUAGGACUACCCGCUGAACUUAAGCAUAUCAAUAAGCGGAGGAAAUG
rnacentral:rRNA from 1 species